AGUGAACGCUGGCGGUAGGCCUAACACAUGCAAGUCGAACGGCAGCACAGUAAGAGCUUGCUCUUACGGGUGGCGAGUGGCGGACGGGUGAGGAAUACAUCGGAAUCUACUUUUUCGUGGGGGAUAACGUAGGGAAACUUACGCUAAUACCGCAUACGACCUACGGGUGAAAGCAGGGGAUCUUCGGACCUUGCGCGAUUGAAUGAGCCGAUGUCGGAUUAGCUAGUUGGCGGGGUAAGGCCCACCAAGGCGACGAUCCGUAGCUGGUCUGAGAGGAUGAUCAGCCACACUGGAACUGAGACACGGUCCAGACUCCUACGGGAGGCAGCAGUGGGGAAUAUUGGACAAUGGGCGCAAGCCUGAUCCAGCCAUACCGCGUGGGUGAAGAAGGCCUUCGGGUUGUAAAGCCCCUUUGUUGGGAAAGAAAAGCAGCAGGUUAAUACCCCGCUGUUCUGACGGUACCCAAAGAAUAAGCACCGGCUAACUUCGUG
rnacentral:rRNA from 1 species